GGUUAUCCUGAAACUCCAAUGGUCUUUCAUUCUCAAGUAGAGAGGAUUGAACCAUGUCGUGAGGAGUAGCAGGAGGUCUUAGUCUUAGGGGCUUCCACUAUGCCUCAAGAUUCGGAACAGACUAACCAUGUGAGUGUGGUAGGGUGAAACCCGUUGGCAAUGGCUUUGCAAAGCAGUAGAUGCUACCACAAGUGCACAACCCGCAAUGGCUCGACAAUCAUUCUAAACCUGGACAAUCAAGUCUAGAUCAUAACAUGUUAAGAUGUUUGAACUAGUUUAUCUUGUAUGAAUACUUAUGUGUAUGUUGUAUGUUAUAUUAAUGCAUGAAUUCUUUUAUAUCUAGC
rnacentral:lncRNA from 1 species